rnacentral:rRNA from 1 species
UAACGGCGAGUGAAGCGGCAACAGCUCAAAUUUGAAAUCUGGCUUCGGCCCGAGUUGUAAUUUGUAGAGGAUGCUUUUGGCGAGGUGCCUUCUGAGUUCCCUGGAACGGGACGCCAGAGAGGGUGAGAGCCCCGUAUAGUCGGACACCUAGCCUCUGUAAAGCUCCUUCGACGAGUCGAGUAGUUUGGGAAUGCUGCUCAAAAUGGGAGGUAUAUCUCUUCUAAAGCUAAAUAUAGGCCAGAGACCGAUAGCGCACAAGUAGAGUGAUCGAAAGAUGAAAAGCACUUUGAAAAGAGGGUUAAAUAGCACGUGAAAUUGUUGAAAGGGAAGCGCUUGUGACCAGACUUGUGCCGGGCUGAUCAUCCAGUGUUCUCACUGGUGCACUCGACCCGGCUCAGGCCAGCGUCGGUUCUCGCAGGGGGAUAAAAGCUUCGGGAACGUGGCUCCUCCGGGAGUGUUAUAGCCCGUUGCUUAAUACCCUUGCGGGGACCGAGGUUCGCGCUCUGCAAGGACGCUGGCAUAAUGGUCAUCAGCGACCCGUCUUGAAACACGGACCAAGGAGUCGAGGUUUUGCGCGAGUGUUUGGGUGUAAAACCCGCACGCGUAAUGAAAGUGAACGUAGGUGAGAGCUUCGGCGCAUCAUCGACCGAUCCUGAUGUAUUCGGAUGGAUUUGAGUAAGAGCGUAAAGCCUCGGACCCGAAAGAUGGUGAACUAUGCCUGAAUAGGGUGAAGCCAGAGGAAACUCUGGUGGAGGCUCGCAGCGGUUCUGACGUGCAAAUCGAUCGUCAAAUUUGGGCAUGGGGGCGAAAGAC